GCGCGAAAACUUAACAAUGCUGGCAACAGCGAUAAGGGAACCUCGAGUGCCAGGUUACAAAUCUGGCUGUCGAGAUGCCUAAAAAGCAUUUCAUAGCAAGGGCCGGGCAAGACCGGUGCCAGCCGCCGCGGUAACACCGGCGGCUCGAGUGGUAACCGUUAUUAUUGGGUCUAAAGGGUCUGUAGCCGGCCGGAUAAGUCUCUUGAGAAAUCUGGCAGCUUAACUGUCAGGCUUUCAGGAGAUACUGUCUGGCUCGAGGCCGGGAGAGGUGAGAGGUACUUCAGGGGUAGGGGUGAAAUCUUGUAAUCCGUGAAGGACCACCAGUGGCGAAGGCGUCUCACCAGAACGGACCUGAUGGCAAGGGACGAAAGCUAGGGGCACGAACC
rnacentral:rRNA from 1 species